rnacentral:rRNA from 1 species
AAUGAACGCUGGCGGCAUGCCUAACACAUGCAAGUCGAACGAAGGCUUCGGCCUUAGUGGCGCCCGGGUGCGUAAGGCGUGGGAAUCUGCCCUUGGGUUCGGAAUAACGGCGGGAAACGGACGCUAAUACCGGAUGAUGACGUAAACCCUAAGCUUUAUCGCCCAAGGAUGAGCCAGCGUUGGAUUAGCUAGUUGGUGAGGUAAAAGCUCACCAAGGCGACGAUGCGUAGGUGGUCUAAGAGGAUGAUCAGCCACACUGGGAGUGAGACACGUCACAGACACCUACGGGAGGCAGCAGUCGGGAAUCCUACGCAAUGCGCGAAAGCCUGAUACAGCAAAGUCGCGUGAAGGAUGAACGACCUCGGCUGGGAAAGUGAUGUUGUCGGGAGCGAAGAAACGUUUUUUUACCCAGGAUGGUAAUGACGGUACCGAAAGAAUAAGCACCGGCUAACUACGUG